rnacentral:ncRNA from 1 species
UCCGCUUAGGUCUGUGGUUGCCCCGGCUUUGCGUAUCCCGCAAAGCCGGGUAGUCCAAGCUAGACGCAGGCGAAAGGAUCCACGUAAAGUAUCCACAUUUGGUUUUUUCGGCUAAAUGCGAAUGCCGAGCAUGGUGCGUCUUAGGAGUAAGUCCUGCCGUUCCAGAGGACGAGAGGGGUUCCAGUGGUCCAAAAGGGGCUGCGAAGCCCCCGGCAGGCGAGUGUGGGGUCAAAGACCAGGUCAGCUAAGCGGA